rnacentral:misc_RNA from 1 species
GCGCGUCGAGUUCUUCAUUUCACAUCAUCAAAUGCAAAUUCUAAAGACAGAAUGAAAGAACCACAGAGACAUUGAGGCAGAUCCCUCAUAGAACAAACUUCCAAUGAUAAUAAGGUUUCAUAGAUUCUAAGCCUUUUUCUAUUACAAACUUAUCUUCAUCUGAGAAGCAGUCAUAGCAACCAGACAGCAACAUCAUGUCGAUCCACCAUAUAUCAGCAUUCUGCAGAUGUUAGUUUAUUUUACGGUUUUGUGCAAUGUUUUCAUUUUCCAACAAUCGGUUUUACACAUAUCGAAGCAGGGAUAAACCAAUUCAUAAGUAUUCAAAAUACAAGCUGGCUUACCCCCAAGGGAACAACAAAUUAAACAAACAGAGACUGUUCAUUGAGCACGGUCUCUGAUCACUUCCAAGUCCAUCUCUGCAGGGUCAGUAGCUUGAAUUUCAUAGUGGAUGCCAUCGAGCUCGUGCCGAAAGUUGUCUUUAGAUGUCGCAUAAAGCAUCUUAGCACGGAUUCGUGAGCUAGCUGGAGACC